rnacentral:rRNA from 1 species
UACGGGGGGGGCAAGCGUUGUUCGGAAUUACUGGGCGUAAAGGGCUCGUAGGCGGCCAACUAAGUCGGACGUGAAAUCCCUCGGCUUAACCGGGGAACUGCGUCCGAUACUGGAUGGCUUGAGUAUGGGAGAGGGAUGCGGAAUUCCAGGUGUAGCGGUGAAAUGCGUAGAUAUCUGGAAGAACACCGGAGGCGAAGGCGGCUUGCUGGACCUGGUCUGACGCUGAGGCGCGAAAGCGUGGGGAGCGAACAGG